GGUGUUAAUAUACGACCCGACUAGCAGCUUCCGGGAAACCAAAGUUUUUCGUUUCCGGGGGAAGUAUGGUUGCAAAGCUGAAACUUAAAGGAAUUGACGGAAGGGCACCACCAGGAGUGGAGCCUGCGGCUUAAUUUGACUCAACACGGGAAAACUCACCCGGCCCGGACACCGUAAGGAUUGACAGACUGAGAGCUCUUUCUUAAUUCGGUGGGUGGUGGUGCAUGGCCGUUCUUAGUUGGUGGAGCGAUUUGUCUGGUUAAUUCCGAUAACGAACGAGACUCUGGCCUAUUAAAUAGUCGGUAUAUCCGGAAAAGUUUACCGUACUUCUUAGAGGGACAAACGGCGUCUAGCCGCGUGAAAUAGAGCAAUAACAGGUCUGUGAUGCCCUUAGAUGUCCGGGGCUGCACGCGCGCUACACUGAAAGAAUCAGUAUGCGCUUUAACCUAGUCCGGAAGGAUUGGGUAACCCGAGCAAAUUCUUUCGUGCUUGGGAUAGGGAAUUGCAAUUAUUUCCCUUAAACGAGGAAUUCCCAGUAAAUGCGGGUCAUAAGCUCGCGUUG
rnacentral:rRNA from 1 species